AUGAAGAAACGCAAGAUGUCAGCUUUAACUUUUGAAGAGCUCCUGACAGAAAGGAAAAGGGGAAUAAUAACCUUUUUCUAAGAUGACUGGAGGAAACACAUAAGGAGCUCUCUGGAGAUUUAAAUUUUCUGAAGAUGUACAGAAUGCCUUUAAGGUUGGUAGAAGGUAAACAUUGUUUCUCUACUAUUCAUCAAGCUGUAAGUUUGUCGAUGACACCACUGUAGUGGGACGGAUAUCUAACAACAAUGAGUCAAAAUACAGAAGGGAGAUAGAGGGCUCGGUAAAGUGAAGCAAUGAAAACAAUCAAUCUCUCAAUGUCGGCAAAAUUAAAGAACUGAUCAUCGACUUCAGAAAGAAAGGAGGAGAACACACCCCCAUCUACAGUAAUAGAACUGAGAUUGACAGGGUGGAGGGCAUCAAGUUUCUCGGAGUGACGACAAUCGACAACCUGUCCUGGACUUCCCAUGUUGAUGCAACAGUCAGGAAGGCACAACAACACCUCUUCUUCCUCAGGCAGUUCAGGAAAUUUGCCAUGUCCAUAA